UAAAAGUUUUACAGAAAAAUCCAAACGAUUGUAAUUUUUAGUGUUUUGACAAUGGAAAAGCUGAAAUUGUUUUUCGUACUCUUGAUAACUUUUAGCUCCUGUGUGGAAUUGGUGGUUGGACCGCCUGGUAACCGAGAUGUGGUGGUUUCAGACGACAGAGGUAAAAGCCAAAACUACAAUAUCCACAAAGAAGAAAUGAAAAUUGAUGACAUCAAACGAGUAAUGGAUCUAAUGAAAGUCAGAUCUGCUUAGAGAUCAGCUAUGAUUCUUCUUGAGCUGCAAAAAGGGAAUAAUAUUCAAUUCGUUUGGAAUAAUAAUAAAUCUAAUUUACAAUACUAA